CUCAUCAUUAACCCCGAAUCUCCGCUCCGCGCGGCGCGGGCGUCUCCCUGCUGCUUCCCCUCCCUCGCGUAAAAAAAGAGAGAGGCGACCGAAAUCCUAACGGCCUGCCGCCUCACCCCCUCCAGACUGCAGUCCACGCUGGGCCGGCCUCCCCGCCGAAGCAGGACCUCCGCUCCCCUCGCCGCCGUCCCCCACCCUGGAGGUCCGUACGGACGUGGAUUCUUCUUCCGCUGGCGUUUCACUACAUUUAAACACGCAGAAUGCCUCGAGGGCGAGGUUCGUCUGUGUCAACACACGAGAAGCCUAAUGUUGAUGCAGCAGUCGAUUCUGAUAAAGAUAACAGCAGGCAUAAGAGGAGCGCUUAUUUGUUGCUGGGGUUGUUUAUACUUUUCCUUCAUGGAUCCUGGUCUGUUUACCGUAUGCAGUUUGCAAAUCUUCCUUUGCCCCUUGGUGCCGAGCAGGCUGGUAAGCGGGGGUUUUCAGAGGCUUCUGCCCUUAAGCAUGUGAAGUACUUGACAGGCCUGGGUCCUCAUGCAGUUGGUUCAGAUGCCCUUGAUCUUGCUGUGCAGUAUGUAUAUGCAGAAGCAGAGAAAAUAAAGAAGACAGCUCAUUGGGAUGUUGAUGUUCAACUGGAGCUGUUCCACACAGAUAUUGGUGCAAAUCGUCUAGCUGGUGGACUUUUCAAGGGAAAAACACUCUUGUACUCAGACCUUAAGCAUGUUAUCCUCAGAAUUGUUCCCAAGUAUUUACCGGAAGCUGAAGAAAAUUUGAUUCUUGUCUCUUCUCAUAUUGACACGGUUUCCACAACGGGAGGUGCCGGAGAUUGCAGUUCAUGUGUAGGAGUCAUGCUAGAGCUGGCACGGGGAGUAGCUCAGUGGGCUCAUGGGUUUAAGAGUGGUGUCCUGUUUCUGUUCAACACAGGGGAAGAAGAGGGUCUUGACGGGGCCCACAGUUUUAUAACUCAGCACCACUGGAGAAACUCAGUACGUUUUGCUGUUGAUUUGGAAGCUAUGGGUAUCAGUGGGAAAUCCACCCUUUUUCAGGGUACUCACCAAUGGGCUUUGGAGAGCUUUGCUGCUGUAGCGAAGUAUCCAUCUGCUCAAAUAGCUACACAGGAUGUUUUCCGUUCUGGAGCGAUAAAAUCUGCUACUGAUUUCCAAAUAUAUCAGGAGGUUGCUGGUCUUCCUGGCCUUGAUUUUGCAUAUACAGAUACGACAUCCGUGUAUCACACAAAGAAUGACAAAAUAGAGCUCCUGACACCUGGAUCCCUUCAGCACAAUGGAGAAAAUAUGCUUGCCUUCCUACUCCAUGCUGCUUCAUCACCAAAAUUUAUGAAAGAUGCACACCAGGCAAAGCAAGAGAGCACAGAGCAGAAUAAUGCUAUUUUUUUCGACAUUCUGGGCAAGUACAUGGUGGUCUAUCCACAGCGGUUAGCAACCAUGUUUCACAACUCAAUAAUAUUUCAGUCGCUCCUGAUAUGGGGAACAUCACUGCUUAUGGGUGGACGUCCUGGUCUUGUGUCCUUCGGAAUAGCAUGUUUGAGCAUUAUUUUGACGUUGAUAUUUUCUAUCUUCUUACCGGUUGUGGUGGCAUUUUCCCUGCCGCAUAUUUGUCCUUUUCCUGUUCCAUUUGUUGGAAAUCCGUGGUUAGUUAUUGGCUUAUUUGGUUCACCUGCACUGCUUGGCGCAUUCAUUGGUCAGCGUUUUGGAUUUAUUCUCCUGAAGAGGCACAUUCAAGAAGUGUAUUCAAGAACAAAGCCAGGUCUAACUGGUAACACGAUGGAUUACAUUGUUGGCCUGGAAGCUGAGAGGUGGAUUUUCAAAUCUGGUUUUGUCCAAUGGCUUAUAGUUUUGAUACUCGGAACCUAUUUGAAGGUCGGCGCAUCCUAUAUAGCACUCAUCUGGCUUGUUUCGCCUGCUUUUGCAUAUGGUCUUAUGGAAGCAACACUAACUCCUGUAAGGUCACCUAAACAGCUUAAGGUCUUUACAUUGGUCCUGGCUUUGGCUGUGCCAGUUAUGUCAUCUGCUGGUUUGUUUAUUCGCUUGGUAGAUGUGAUGGUUGGCAGUAUUGUACGUGCUGAUAGGAACCCUGGUGGACUACCAGACUGGCUUGGAAAUGUAGUAGUUGCUGUUGCCAUCGCUAUAGUCGUGUCCUUCACGUUUGUGUAUCUUCUUUCGUAUGUCCAUAUUUCAGGUGCCAAAAAAACACUUCUUUCUGUGUUGUGUGCUUUCUUUGGUCUUGCCCUUGUACUGGUAUCAAGUGGCAUUGUUCCAGCAUUCACAGAGGAUAUUGCUCGUUCUGUAAAUGUUGUGCAUGUUGUUGAUACUACAAGAAUGAAUGAUGGAAACACAGAACCAUUAUCCUAUGUUUCCCUGUUCUCGAACAUGCCUGGAAAGUUGACACAGGAAUUGAUGGACCUAAGAGGGGAAGAGUUUUCUUGCGGAAGGAAUAUGACAACUGAUUUUGUGACAUUUACCGUGAAGUAUGGCUGCAGGAGUUACAAAGGGAGCAAUGCUGGAUGGAGCAAAUCAGAAGUUCCAGUGCUCCAUGUUGAAAGCGAUUCUGCUGCCGAUGAUGCCCGCAGAACAGUAGUAUCAGUUGAUACCAAGUCAUCUACACGGUGGUCACUCGCAAUCAAUAUGCAGGAAAUCGAUGACUUCACUGUUCAAGUGGAUUCAGAUAAGUUGGUUCAACUGGGUGGUAAGAGCGAGGUCGAUGGAUGGCAUACAAUCCAGUUUGCAGGCGGCAAGAACGCGCCAACAAAAUUCCAGCUAACCCUUUUCUGGUCAAGCAAUGCGACACAGGCAUCUCCAAAGGAAGCUAACGCAGAGGACCCUCCUCUCCUGGUAAAACUAAGAACGGACGUGAAUAGGGCCACACCGAUGGUUGAGACGCUUCUCGAGAAGCUUCCACGCUGGUGUGCAGCUUUCGGUAAGUCCACAUCUCCUUACACGCUGGCGUUCUUGACCGCUCUUCCUGUCGAUAUUUAGGCGACGCACAUUGUGUGCCCCAACAUUGUAGGGUAUUAACAGUUUGACAUAGUGUUGAUUUACGCUGUAUCUAGCUAUUCGUAUUAGAUUCAAUUGCAUUCAUAGCUUCAAACUUAUAGGGCAGCCCCGUGUCAAAAAUGUGCCUGAUGAAUGAAAGGUCGGUCUGUUUGAUGUCGAAAAACUUGAGGUUAGAAUGGUGGUUGCAAUAAAGACAGGUGUUAUGUGAUGUUACUUAUGGAGGCAGUUGAAUGGGCAUGGCCAGAUCAGAGACAUUCUGUAUCGUCGAUUUUCUGAUUGGUGUGUAUAGUGAUAGUUUGGUCCCGUGUCUGAAUCGUGGACAAAGUUGGCUGUUCCAGUCCAAAGUCCAAACUUGAGGAAAGUGUCGGCUCGAUCAUGGGAC
rnacentral:rRNA from 1 species